AGAGAGAAGGUUAAGAGCAACAAGAUGGGAGGCAGCUGCAUGGAACCUGUCCCACUGAGGAAGUAAAACAGGCUUGUCCAUUUUAAUGAGAAGCUUAUGUGGCAUGGAACUGAGUUCACCCCCAACCAGCAGCUGGUGAGGAAUGGAGCUCUUCGUUCAAUGACUCAUAAUGAGCUUUGAGACAACCAAAGCCCCCUAGCUAACCUGUGCCUGGAUUCCUGGCCCACAAAGACAGUGAGAGAGGGACCCAACUCAGCCCAUGAAGCCACUGAAAUACAGGAAAGAGCAUCUUCAUUGAAGCCACUGGAGCAUGGGAAAGAGCACCACCAGCUCCCUGCUCGCUAGCUGUGAACCUCAGGAUGGAAUAGAAGAUGGAUAAAAAGCUUCUACUGCAGCCUGGGCCCAGUUCACUUUCUCUCUUGGCUCCAAUCCUGGUGGACACAGUAGGGGCUCCUCAAAAGCUCCACCCAUCACCUCCUUGAAUCACUGCAUCAUCUACUUCACACUGGGGCACAGACAAUUGGAUGGCUUCUUUGAUCUCUGUCUAGCACUUGAUCCUAUUCAAAAGGAGUUUGGAAGGAGUCAUGGAAGUAAACAGCCAAGUGGAAAAACACAAGCUAAAAUAGGAAAAGAGGCCAUUUAUGCAUCACUUUCAAACACAAAGUACUUGAUAGAGAAAAAAAAAUUCUCUGAACAGUGGUCAGACUCUCCAAAUAGACAAGCUGAUGCCAAAUAAAAGGAGUGAUUGUGAACGGACCUGGCAGCACGUUCUUCAGGAAAUGGCCGGGUGUGUGUAUCCUUGCUGAUUACAUGUAUAAUAGCUCCACAAGCAAUGCUGUCUAUCAAGAAAGGCUGCAUCUCAGAGUCGUGUUUUCAAAAGGAAAGAGAAUGAGCACUCAGCUGAGCCUGUCUGGAAAGAGGCAAAGCGGCUCUAGGAGAGGGGAAGGAGUUGGGAGUUCUUACAUGCUGGCGACAGCCAAGCCGCAAGAGAUGAGCAGGGCACAGAGCACACGUUCAAAGGAAAAUCCAGUGUUGACUUUUACCUCUACAGGAUGUUUGAAAAAGGAUUCAGGAAAAUCAAAACUCAAAAGCAUAGAUCAGCCUGUGGAAAGUCCAGCAUGUCUUUCCACUUUAUAGUGAACUCUCUGGAACAAAAAGUGACAUUCAGAUUUCAAGUCACAGCUAGGAUAUCUGAGCCUCAUGGGUAAUGGGAACAUGUCCGGACAACAUUGGGAAAUGAGUGGGCGCUGCCCUGCAAGAACCGAAUGGGAUACAAUGCUGGAACACACUUGCCACAAUGCCUAGCAGUAAGUUCUAUGAAAACAUUAUCAUUCCCAACAUUAAUACUAAUCAUUAUAACAAACAUCUAAAUUUUAAAAGGCCCUUCUACCUUUGUCACCCUGUAAAUGACAUGGAUAAAGUCAUAGUUUAUGUGGCUGUGACACCACAAAGACCCAGGGCUGAUUUACCUGGCAAUACCCCCUUUCUCUACGGAAGCUGUGGUUCAAAGGGACCAUAGCUAGAAGCUACUCUGCAAGGGAGGCUAUGAGCUUAGCUCUUAGAGCCCAACUGGGAAAGAAUAUUGUACAAUAACGUCUACAAAAUUACUACUUUUCAGCCUGGAAUCACGUUUGUGAUCUUCUUUGGAACUUAUCAAUGCAAAGCUUCAUAAUAACGGAAUGUUUUCCUAUUGUUGCUUGGAUUGCCUUAAUCUCUUACCAUAACUUUUUCAUCCCCCAACAUUUAAAGUUUUUGUAUACUAAAAAGUAAUAGCUAUUUAUUUAAUUUAAAAUAUUUUACCAGCUUUGAAGUUACAGUGUGUGGAUAUCUAAGAUAUCAAUCUAAGCUCUAAUCUAUACAGGCAGAAGUGCUGGUGCUUGUGAAAGCAGGACCUGGAAAUAGACUGGGUUCAAGUCCUAAGUCAACCCCCACUAGCUCAGGUCAGAUAAGUUGAUUAAUCACUCCAUGCUUCAGUUUUCUCAUCUGUAUAAUGGGAAAAAUGAGAGUGCUUCACUCAUGGGAGAAUUGAAGGAGUUCUUAAUAAUUAUCAAGCUCUAAAAACAGACGAGGCAGAAGCUAAAAGAUUUUAAUGAACUUCACAUUUUUACAG
rnacentral:lncRNA from 1 species